rnacentral:lncRNA from 1 species
UUUUACUUCUUCCUAUAACAUUUCUCUAUCGUUUAAUUGUGCUUCUUUUGUAUGCACGGGAAAAAUUAAAUAUUACCUAAAUAUACAAAAUAGUUCGGUAACAUCAAUUUAUUCUGAUUAUUUGAACCAUUAUUGACCAACCAACAGAAAAAAACAAAAAAAAAACAUUACUAAUGCUCCAGCAACAUAACGACUGAUACACGUUUUAUGAAUUAUAAUGUUGGUUUCUUCAAUAUAUAUGUAUAUAUA